ACGAAGAGUUUGAUCCUGGCUCAGGAUGAACGCUGGCGGCGUGCCUAACACAUGCAAGUCGAACGGUUAAGGCGGCUUCGGCCGCGUAUAAAGUGGCGAACGGGUGAGUAACGCGUGACCGACCUUCCCCCCGCACCGGGACAACCGCGGGAAACCGCGGCUGAUACCGGGUACUCCGGGGCCCCCGCAUGGGGGCCCCGGGAAAGCUCCGGCGGCGGGGGAUGGGGUCGCGUCCCAUCAGGUAGUAGGCGGGGCAACGGCCCACCUAGCCGACGACGGGUAGCCGGGUUGAGAGACCGACCGGCCACAUUGGGACUGAGAUACGGCCCAGACUCCUACGGGAGGCAGCAGUGGGGAAUUUUGCGCAAUGGGGGCAACCCUGACGCAGCAACGCCGCGUGCGGGACGACGGCCUUCGGGUUGUAAACCGCUUUCAGCAGGGAAGAACCUCUGACGGUACCUGCAGAAGAAGCCCCGGCUAACUACGUGCCAGCAGCCGCGGUAAUACGUAGGGGGCGAGCGUUAUCCGGAAUGAUUGGGCGUAAAGCGCGCGCAGGCGGCCGCUCAAGCGGGACCUCUAACCCCGGGGCUCAACCCCGGGCCGGGUCCCGAACUGGGCGGCUCGAGUGCGGUAGGGGAGAGCGGAAUUCCAAGUGUAGCGGUGAAAUGCGCAGAUAUUUGGAAGAACACCGAUGGCGAAGGCAGCUCUCUGGGCCGUCACUGACGCUGAGGCGCGAAAGCCGGGGGAGCGAACAGGAUUAGAUACCCUGGUAGUCCCGGCCGUAAACGAUGGGCGCUAGGUGUGGGGGGACAUUCCCUCCGUGCCGCAGCCAACGCAUUAAGCGCCCCGCCUGGGGAGUACGGCGGCAACGCUAAAACUCAAAGGAAUUGACGGGGGCCCGCACAAGCAGCGGAGCAUGUGG
rnacentral:rRNA from 1 species